rnacentral:lncRNA from 1 species
UUCUCAGACUUUAGGGGAAAAUGUUAAUCCUACCCACAGCUCAGCUGCCAAACCCUGAACUUAACUGGACAGAAUGCAGCUGUAUUCCAGCUACUUGCAAGGAAGUAUAAUCCCUCUGUUACUCAAUACCUUUAAAAGCUCAGCUGGGAAAUAAUACUUGUGGAGAACAUCCUGGAAAACACUCAUCCUAUCAUCUAGAAACUCUCUCUAACCAAAGUUAGGCAAGACAAUCCUGGAAUUUACAGGUCUUAGGAUUCAUGAGACUGAAUUCUGACAGAUCUGCCUAUCGGUAUUAACAAGCUUCCAGACAAGAGUCCCAACUCUAGCAAGUAUAGCAUAAGAGACUUCAUGGCAUUAGAGAAUCUGUAUUGAGUAACUAAAAAAGUUUCCAGCUCUCCUGUCACAAAGUGGCUAUUGAGACUUCAAAUGUCAGAUGAUCUCCUUUGAAGCAGCAAAAUAGAGUGGAUAGAACUCCAGGAUGGAUGUCAAAAAACUCUGUGAUCCUAGUUCUAACUCAAAUUUACCUUUCAUAUGGUAUGAGGUUGGCAACAAAUGAUUCAUGGACCACCACUCAUCUAUAGACCAGACAUUAGUAAGAUGUGCUUGCUUCUCCUUCGCCUUUCACCAUGACUGUAAGUUUCCAGAGGCCUCCCAGUCAUGGUUCCUGUUAAGCUUGCAGAACGUGCACACAACCUGGAGCAAAGAGAUGUCAACGUAGACUUGAAAGCCUCAACAAACAUCUAUACAUUCAAAAUUCAGAGGAUAAUUGCAGACUUACAUGUUAAAUGAUGCCACAGGCUUGUGGUGAAUGUACAAAUCUAAUUCCCUAAACCUAUGAUACUACAGCUGACCCUUGAACAACAUGGGUUUGGACUACACGGUUCCAGCUAUACACGAUGUUUUUCAGCCAAACACAGAUCAAAAAUGCAGUAUUUGUGGGAUAUGGAACUUACCUAUAUGGAAGGCUGACUUUUCUUAUACUUUGGUUCCAUGGGGCUGACUGCAAGAUUUGAGUAUGCUUGUAUUUUGGUAUACUCAGGCCAGCGCCCUGGAAUCAAUUCCCUGCAUAUACCCAAGGAUGGUUGCAUUUAGAUAAUCGGAGCAUUACAAUGCCAUUUGUUAUGCAAAGAACAGCUUCUAUAAUUUGUGAAAUUUCAGUGAAAAAUAAAAUAUAAAGAUUUCACUCUAUUAAACUCUAUUAUUACUAAGAAAAUGAGAACUGAGUCUCAAAGGUAGUUAAUACAACGUAUUGAUCCAGCAGAAAUAGCUAUUCCUAUGAAUGCCAAAAUGAUUAGUCACUUUGUUAUUAAAUCAGCCUCACUGAUUAUUUUAGAUAUUAUAAACGGAAGUGAUUUUCAAUUUUCAACCCAACCAGAUGUUAUUGGCGUGCAUCAAACACAGAUAAGAGUGAAUCUACUCAGAAGAAAAUCAAGGAGAAUAUAGCUAAAAAUAUGCUAUGAGGCUAAUGUUCUGUUUAAAGAAAGGCUUAUUUGAUAUUUCUAUAGUGUUGAAUGACAUUUUCCGGAAAAAAAAUUGUUAAAUUUUAAAUAGAUUAUAUAAUGUAAUACCAAAAUUAUUUCAAUAAUGUUAUUAGAAAUAUGCUUUUUUUUUUUUUGAGACGCAGUCUCACUCUGUCACCUAGGCUGCAGUGCAGUGGCAUGAUCUCAGCUCACUGCAACCUCUGCCUCCUGAGUUCAAGCAAUUCUCCUGCCUCAGCCUCCCAGGUAGCUGGGAUUCCAAGCGUGCACCACCAUGCCCAGCUAAUUUUUGUGUUUUCAGUAGAGACAGGGUUUCACCAUGUUGGCCAGGCUGGUCUCAAACUCCUGACCUCAAGUGAUCAUCCCGCCUCAGCCCCCCAAAGUGUUGGGAUUACAGGCAUGAGCCACCACACCUGGCCAGAAAUAUGCAUAUUUUUGAUUUUGCAUUUUCUAGUCCAUGUUUUCCAUCAUAAAAUAGGUUUUUCCAAAAAUUGAAUUAUUUACAAAAAUUUAAAAAAAUCCUUCAUCUUUAGAAUGUAUUUUUUGAAUUAUCAUUCGUUAUACCAGAAGAUACUUAAUUUAAGAAACACAUAAUUUCCUUAUUAAUAUUCUACAAUAAAUUUCUUAGGCUCAUUGUUCUUUAAUAUAUAGGCAAAAAUAUUUGGUGAUUUCUUAAACAAUUGGGUCCAAAUACUGCCUUAAUUUCAUUUCCUACCAAUGAAUUCAUUCCCUUAAAACCAGAGAGAUUCCAGUUUUUUACACACGUUCCCCAAGAAACUGAAUAUUUUAGGCUUACCACAAAACAGACAGUAAUAAAAUUAUAAAAGCAGAGAUGUACAAACAUGACUCCAGAGGUCUCAAAAUGUCUCUAACAGGGGAUGCCUGACAUUAUGGCAAACUAAGCUUGCUAGAUAUUCAGCUUCUUACCACAAACACAUUAAAAAAUCAUGACUAGAAGAUAAAGAUAAAAUAUUUAAAUAAAGACAUUUUAAUUACAUACGUUAGCUCAAAAGAAAAAAAAAAGUGAAACAUCUAAGCCAGAAGGAUUAAAUACAUUUAUAUUCUGGCCACUUCUGGGGGAGUUGCAUCCUGUUCUAGGUUUGGGACACUGGAGUUCUAAUAUUUUUAAGGACACAAAAGAUGACUCUUCUAGCAUGUGAAGACAGAAGAAACUGGAACUGAACCCCUUACAUAAAACCUAGAGCCUUUCAGAUCUGUCCUAUUGUUAAUAGGAGAAUAGAAAAAAUGCCACAGAAUGAUCUGAGUAAGCAGCAAUAUAGCUCAUCUUGCUCAAGAGCUAUUUUAUGAAAAGAAAAUAAGAGUCACAGGAGAAAUCAAAAUUCCAAUAAAGAUGUGAGCCCAGGUCUUUCUUAUUUCAAAGCUCUUGAUUUUUGCUUUGGUCUCUGCUGGCCUUCCUUUCUCUGAAUUGUCUUUAUGUUAUGUAGAGUAAAGAGAGUUUUAUUCUUGAACCCAGAACCAAAGCUAUACACAAACUAUUCUCACAACUUUUUUUUUUAAAGACAUGCCAUCCUAUCGACCUUGUUAAAUGAUUUUUUUUGGAAUGAUAGGGCAUUCCUCCUACUUUUCCUGCAAUUAUUUUCUAGCAUAGAUCUCAAAGAUCUGCAAACUAGUAAACAAUAAACCUAAAGCAGUAAAAACUUCAGACCCCUGCAUCCAAGCUUAAUUAAGUCAGAAAUUGAAUUCCAUUAUGUCAUGGGAUAUGCCCUAGAGAAUUGUAUUGAUUCUCUCCUCUACGCCCAAAUGCACUUGAGCUAAAAGGCAUCUUUGCAAUCACAAAGCAUCCCAGCCUGGAGAAAGCUAUAUUUUGAGAAAGAAUGUAGGUAGGUAUUCAUAUUAGAUGUGGGAAUCAAAGUCACCUUAAGUACAAUCUUGAUGUUACACUUGUGUUUUAAAAAAAUGGGAAGUUGGAGAUGAACUCGUUCAUGGAGCUCAGAAUUAUUUGCUGUUUGACCAAUAUUGUACCAUAUAAGCCGUGUUAUCUGUAAAACUAUACAUUCAUGUAUUAAAUAUGUAUAAAAGGUAAGAGGAUUGUUCUUUUAUUGUGCACACAUUUCCAUGAGCUGCAAAGAUGAGAAUGUGAUGGAUGUAAUAAUACAGACAACAAAUUUGUGGUUGUAUGGGGAAUAUUCACUGCACCCACUGGAAUUGAUUCUAGGCUAGAAUCUAUAACUAUUAGAUGUAAGCAUGUAGAGACCAUCUCAUUUUAUUCCUAGUAACUGGCAUUUCUUCCCACCAGGGUUUAUCCUGAAGCUGAUGAUUGAAAAAUGAAUCCUCAAACGUAAGAUAACUGUUAAAUACACCCACCCAAUAGACUAAUUGAAAUAUAAUAACACAGUUUACAGGAAUUAAUUCUAGAGUAAUUUACAAGCUGGGGAAACUUAAAUCAGGGACCCUAAUCCAAAAGCAAUAUGGAAUAGAAUGGUGUUUUCUAAAUCAUAGUUGUUAUGAUAACACUUUCAUGAUUUUUCCAUGUAAAAUUUCUGAACUAUAUUUAAUAUUUUAUUUAAAAUCUACUCAUUCUUUUUGUUAAGUACACUUAUUUUAAGAAGAACUUUCAUACUUCUGCCAUAUGUAAAAGUGGUGUCACCUGCUGUUCCAUAUUUGAUGAUCCACAAACAUCUGUGACACUAUUCACAGCUACAGUUUUAG